GGGCCGUUAGCUCAACUGGCAGAGUAGCAGACUUUUAAUCCGCAGGUUAUCGGUUCGAUUCCGAUACGGCUCAUCA
rnacentral:tRNA from 1 species